CCUACGGGAGGCAGCAGUGAGGAAUAUUGGUCAAUGGACGAGAGUCUGAACCAGCCAAGUAGCGUGAAGGAUGACUGCCCUAUGGGUUGUAAACUUCGUUUAUAAAGGAAUAAAACGAGGCACGUGUGCCUUUUUGCAUGUACUUUAUGAAUAAGGAUCGGCUAACUCCGUGCCAGCAGCCGCGGUAAUACGGAGGAUCCGAGCGUUAUCCGGAAUUAUUGGGUUUAAAGGGAGCGGAGAUGGGUUGUUAAGUCAGUUGUGAAAGGUUGCGGCUCAACAGUAAAAUUGCAAUUGAUACUGGCAGUCUUGAGUACAGUUGAGGUAGGCGGAAUUCGUGGUGUAGCGGUGAAAUGCUUAGAUAUCACGAAGAACCCCGAUUGCGAAGGCAGCUUACUAAACUGUGACUGACAUUGAUGCUCGAAAGUGUGGGUAUCAAACAGGAUUAGAUACCCCUGUAGUC
rnacentral:rRNA from 1 species